rnacentral:rRNA from 1 species
UACGGAGGUUCCAAGCGUUGUUCGGAAUUACUGGGCGUAAAGGGAGCGUAGGCGGACAGGUCAGUCUGAAGUGGAAUUCCGGGGCUCAACCUCGGACUUGCUUCGGAUACUGCCUGUCUUGAGUUCGCGAUAGGAAGAUGGAAUUCAGGGUGUAGCGGUGAAAUGCACAGAUAUCCUGAGGAACACCGGUGGCGAAAGCGGUCUUCUGGCGCGAAACUGACGCUGAGGCUCGAAAGCGUGGGUAGCAAACGGG